AUCUUAAGAUGACUAUUUACCUGUUAAUCGCAAAGAUCGUCAUGACGCCAAUGAUGACUUCAAAAAUACCUCCAAUGAAGAAAUUAAGAUAUUUAUUUCCAGCAAGUUUUGAACUGUUCAGAAUCAAACCAUAAUAUGACAAUGACAUGGAGAUCCUAGAUUUUUUCCACCACACCGUUGGCUUCGUCAAAACGCCUUCGAACAAGAAGCCAACGAAACGACUCAGGCAUAAACCUAAACAGUGUAAAUGUAACGAUUUGUUGAGCACUUUAUAAAGUGAAAAUUGAUAUUGGACAUCAGCAAAAAGGCAUUGGAUCAUAGAACAAAAGUUUUAAACCACGAGCAAUAGAUUUGGACAUCGCUAGCGAAGCCAGCCAGCAAGUUUUGGUGAAACAAUG